UUCGUCUUGCCAAAACCGCCUUGUCUUUCCCUCGAGCACCUUCUCCAGCAAAUCCUUUGCUAGCGGAUCUUGUUGGAGGCCUUCCUUGAUGCGUGAGACAAGGUCGGACCGCCUUGUCUUUCCCUUGAGCACCUUCUCCAGCAAAUCCUUUGCUAGCAGAUCUUGUUGGAGGCCUUCCUUGAUGCGUGAGACAAGGUCGGACUUCGGUUGACUCAUGCUAAGUGUUGCCAAUUCCGCCUUGCGGCUUAGAGCGUCCGCAACAACAUUGGCUUUCCCCGGUUUGUACUCUAGCCGAUAGUCGAAUUCCGCAAGGAAAUCUUGCCACCGCGCUUGCUUCGGACUCAACUUCUUCUGAGUUUGAAAGUAGCUUGUCGCCACGUUAUCUGUCAUAAUCGUGAAGUGCGAGCCAAGCAAGUAAUGUCGCCACACCCGCAAGCAAUGUAUGAUUGCGGUCAUCUCCUUCUCUUGCACCGUGUAGCGGCGUUCCGUGUCAUUUAGCUUUCGACUCUCGAACGCUAUUGGGUGGCCUUCUUGCAUAAGGACUCCACCUAUGGCGAAAUCCGAGGCAUCCGUUUGAACUUCAAAUGGCUUGGUGUGGUCCGGAAGAGCGAGGACUGGUUCCUCCAAAAUUGCCUUCUUCAACUCCUCGAAGGCGCGUUGGCACUCUUCGGACCAAUGCCAUGUUCUGUUUUUCUUGAGCAUAUCCGUCAAGGGUGCCGCCUU
rnacentral:lncRNA from 1 species